UAUAAAAAAAUUUUUUAUUUUUUAUAUACCUAUAUACUCGUUAAAAAAAAAAAAUGUUUUUAGCAUCACAGAAAAGACAAACCAAAACGAAUUUUCAAUAGUCAAGCUAAACAAAUGCCACCCAUUUAAAAAAUAUUUUUCAUAUGCUCUUUUUAAUAUUAUUUUAAAAAAUUAUACCUAUUUUUAUGUCUAUAUGAAAUAUUUUAAUAGGCAUGGGGAGGUAAUGAGCUCAGACUUGACAAGUGUUACUGUGACUAUUAACAAGAACGAAACAAAUGCAUACGAUCAAAAAAAUGUUCUUAUUUUUUUUAACUGUUUUUUGAAAGAGUUAUAUAUGAAAAUUAUACACGACCGAUACAGAGAAAAUUAUUUAGAAAGUGAUCAUGAUUUGUUUAGUUUGGAUAACAUAAAUAAAAUGACAUUAUUUAAAUAUGCAAACGAUUUGGGUGCACGAAAACAUAGGGGCAUAAUAAUGGAUGAUAAGAGUGUCAAUAACAAAGGUAGUGUGAGUAGUAGCCAAGGUAGUACCAGUAGUAACUGUAGUUCCAGUGGUAGAUGGAGUAGCAGUGAUGUUGAUAAAUCAUUUAAAAAUAUACUAAAGGUUAAAAAUGAAAAGAACAAAAUAAAUAGUAACAGUAGUAUGGUAAAUAACAAAAUGUGUAAUGAAGGAUAUUAUUGGCAUUAUGAAUUUAAACAUAACCCGUUUUUUCUUUCUAACGUGUCAAAUAAAUAUGGUAUGACAAAAUUUGUUAAAACUGGCGAGCAUAAAGCAUGUACUACUAAUGAUAUGUAUAACAGUAGUCGUAACAGUGGUAACAAUGUUAUAUGCAACAUAGCUCCAGAAAUAGAAGAUCAAAUGACACAACUUUUGUAUAAUGUCCAUGCAUAUAUUGUUAAUAAGUUGAAUAUAUUAAACAGUGCAUAUAAUAACACUAGUAAAAAUAUUCCCAAAAAUAUCCCAAACUGUUUUAUAUCAUAUAAUACUUUAAAUCAGACCGAAUUUAAAAAAAUAAAAAAUAAAUUUUAUAAAAGAAUAUCACAUGUUCAAUUACAAAUUAUUAAAAAAUUACAAAAAAAAAAAUAUCAUGUAGAAAACUGUACAAAUUAUAUUAAAAACAAUUUAUAUAUUGAAAUGAGUGACGUUAAUAUGCAUUAUACUAACCUAAAUUAUUUGGACCUGCUAAACAUUUUUAAUAUAUGUGAAAAAAAUGAUAAUAAUAAUAAUAAUAAUAAUAGUGGUAAAAGUAAAAGAAGACAAAAAAAACGAAAAAAAGAAGAACGUGUGAUUUUAUAUAUACCAUCUUAUUUUUUAUUUUGCUUAAAUAGAACGUAGUGACUGUUUAUAUAAGAAAAAAAAGGUUAGUAUAAUAUUAAUGCGUUAGUAAGCGCCAAAAAAAAAAAAAAAAAAAAAAAAAAUGAUAAGUAAAAAAUGUAAUUAAAAAAUAGUAUAAUAGUAAGCUUGCCCUGGUAUUAUCUUUAUUUUAUUUUAUUUUAUUUUAUUUUUUUUAUUUUUUUUUUUGUUACAACUUAUAAAAAAAAAGCAACUAGUAUUAACAUAUAUGUGUAUAUAUGUGUAUACACUUAUCAAAAGAUAAAAGGUUGUUGUAAAUUUUACUUUUUUUUUUUUUUUUUUUGUCAUAC
ensembl:lncRNA